rnacentral:rRNA from 1 species
CCUACGGGAGGCAGCAGUGAGGAAUAUUGGUCAAUGGACGAGAGUCUGAACCAGCCAAGUAGCGUGAAGGAUGACUGCCCUAUGGGUUGUAAACUUCUUUUAUAAGGGAAUAAAACGCGGCACGUGUGCCUCUUUGCAUGUACUUUAUGAAUAAGGAUCGGCUAACUCCGUGCCAGCAGCCGCGGUAAUACGGAGGAUCCGAGCGUUAUCCGGAUUUAUUGGGUUUAAAGGGAGCGUAGAUGGGUUGUUAAGUCAGUUGUGAAAGUUUGCGGCUCAACCGUAAAAUUGCAAUUGAUACUGGCAGUCUUGAGUACAGUAGAGGUAGGCGGAAUUCGUGGUGUAGCGGUGAAAUGCUUAGAUAUCACGAAGAACCCCGAUUGCGAAGGCAGCUUACUAAACUGUGACUGACAUUGAUGCUCGAAAGUGUGGGUAUCAAACAGGAUUAGAUACCCGGGUAGUC